UACGUAGGGUGCAAGCGUUAAUCGGAAUUACUGGGCGUAAAGCGUGCGCAGGCGGUUUUGUAAGUUUGUCGUGAAAUCCCCGGGCUCAACCUGGGAAUGGCGAUGAAGACUGCAAGGCUAGAAUCUGGCAGAGGGGGGUAGAAUUCCACGUGUAGCAGUGAAAUGCGUAGGGAUGUGGAGGAACACCGAUGGCGAAGGCAGCCCCCUGGGUCAAGAUUGACGCUCAUGCACGAAAGCGUGGGGAGCAAACAGG
rnacentral:rRNA from 1 species